AUCGGAAUGGGAAUGGGAAUGGAAAUGCGAAUCGAAAUCACAAUCAGAGUCAGAGUAAAAUACAAGGUAUCAGUGCCAUAUAUGAAAAGCAUACAGGAAUAACCCAAUAGCACACGUGCAAGAGGUGUUCACCAAUGUAAAUUCAAACAAAAGUGCUCAUCGUCGAUGGAAAACCGGGCCAAAACGAAACCAAACCAAACCAAGCCGAUUCGAGCCCAACGAGACCAGAAACGGAUGGCCAAUCGCAAUCCCCAGCUGUCCGUGGGAUAGCCAGGAUUAACAGUUCUGCGAAAUGAAAUGGAUAGGACGUAAAAACGUUAUGCCGGCCAAAAGGCACACAACAGUUUAAGCACUCGCAUUGCCAUUUUGCCAGUUCCCAUACUCUGCAGCUGGGCAUCCGCGAAUUUACUACUUUACUACGACUUUUCAAUGAAUCAACUAACAAAAGCGUUUAGCUCUAACAAUAAAGAAAUAUGCGUUUUCACCACCACGUUCGUAGC
ensembl:ncRNA lncRNA:CR45436 long non-coding RNA:CR45436